rnacentral:rRNA from 1 species
AACGAACGCUGGCGGCAUGCCUAACACAUGCAAGUCGAACGAGACCUUCGGGUCUAUGUGCGCACGUGUGCGUGACGCGUGGUAACCUGCCCGUAAGUUCGGAAUAACUCACCGUAGGAGGUGCUAAUACCGGUGAAGGUCUUCGGGCCAAGGAUUUAUGGCCUUGGGGUGGGCGCGGGUUGGAUUAGCUGGUUGGGGGGGUAAAAGCCUACCAAGGCGACGAUGCAGAGCUGGUCUGAGAGGAGGAUCAGCCACACUGGGACUGAGACACGGCCCAGACGCGUACGGGAGGCAGCAGUGGGGACUAUUGGAGCAGGAGCGAAAGCCUGAUCCAGCAAUGCCGGGUGAGUGAUGAAGGGGUUAGGGUUGUAAAGCUCUUUUACCGGGGAUGAUAAUGACGGUACCGGGAGAAUAAGCUCCGGCUACCUCGGU